rnacentral:rRNA from 1 species
UACGUAGGGCGCAAGCGUUUGUCCGGAAUUAUUGGGCGUAAAGAGCUCGUAGGCGGUUUGUUGCGUCGGCUGUGAAAUCCCGAGGCUCAACCUCGGGUCUGCAGUCGAUACGAGCAAACUAGAGUGUUGCAGGGGAGACUGGAAUUCCUGGUGUAGCGGUGAAAUGCGCAGAUAUCAGGGAGGGAACACCGGUGGGCGAAGGCGGGUCUCUGGGCAACAACUGACGCUGGAGGAGCGAAAGCGUGGGGAGCGAACAGG